AAAAAUAUAAUUAUCUUGGAUAUGGAACUUCUUCGGCAACUUGUUUUCAGAAAUGAACUAGGAAUUGGAGCUAGAUGAUUACAUUUGGACAAAAUCAGCUCUUGAGAUGAGCAGAAUUGAAGACAAACAGCAGAAGAUGCUCCCUUGAAUGAAAUGAUGAUGAUUAGUCACAGGAUUGCUGCAAAAACCACUGGUGCUGUGUUUUUAAAAAUACGUUAAAAAUACACCUUCAAGCCGGACAUGAUGGCUCACACCUGUAUCCCAGCACUUUGAGAGGCUGAGUGGGUAGGUCACUUUAGGCCAGGAGUUUGAGACCAGCCUGGCCAACAUGGUGAAAACCCGGCUCUACAAAAACAUGCAAAAAUUAUCCUUAACUUACACCUUUAAUCCCAGCUACUGAGGAGGCUGAGGCACAAGAAUUGCUUGGACCCAGGAGGUAAAGGUUGCAGUGAGCCAAGAUCACACCACUGCACUACAGCCUGGGAAACAGAGCAAGACUCUGUCUCAAAAUAAAUAAAAUAAGUACAUAAAAAUAAAAAU
rnacentral:lncRNA from 10 species